rnacentral:piRNA from 1 species
UAAGUAAGCCCGAAGAUUGUCCAA